UGGGGAAUAUUGCGCAAUGGGGGAAACCCUGACGCAGCGACGCCGCGUGAGCGAUGAAGGCUUUCGGGUCGUAAAGCUCUGUUCUAAGGGACGAAUGGCUCUGUUAUUAAUAAUGACAGAGAGUGACGGUACCUUAGGAGAAAGCCCCGGCUAACUACGUGCCAGCAGCCGCGGUAAUACGUAGGGGGCGAGCGUUGUCCGGAAUUACUGGGCGUAAAGAGCGUGUAGGCGGGCAUUUAAGUCAGGUGUGAAAGACCGGGGCUCAACUCCGGGAUUGCAUUUGAAACUGGAUAUCUUGAGGGCAGGAGAGGAAAGCGGAAUUCCUGGUGUAGCGGUGAAAUGCGUAGAUAUCAGGAGGAACACCGGUGGCGAAGGCGGCUUUCUGGACUGUCCCUGACGCUGAGACGCGAAAGCGUGGGGAGCAAACAGG
rnacentral:rRNA from 1 species